rnacentral:rRNA from 1 species
UGCAGAUUUGAGGAAGCCUGCUCCUAGUACGAGAGGACCGGAGUGGACACACCUCUGGUGUAUCGGUUGUCACGCCAGUGGCAUCGCCGAGUAGCUAUGUGUGGAAGAGAUAACCGCUGAAAGCAUCUAAGCGGGAAACUCGUUUCAAGAUGAGAUCUGCCGGGGCCUUGAGCCCCCUAAAGAGUCGUUCUAGACCAGGACGUUGAUAGGUCGGGUGUGGAAGCGCAGUAAUGCGUUAAGCUAACCGAUACUAAUUGCUCGUGCGGCUUGACCCU